CACUAGUCUUAUAAACUUUAUUUGUCAAAAUGUUACAACUAUAAGAAUCUACCAUUUUUCAUUAGCUCAAUAUAUAUAAACAGAAGUUUUCUCGUCUUCCUUUGCUUCUUCCUAAAGAAUCAAGCAAAAUUACUUUUUUCCUAUUUUGCAUAUAUAAUAUGGAUGUUAGUUUGAUACAUGGCACUAAGAGUACUUUGAAGGCUCACAAAGUUCUUUCAUUGAAGAAGCUUCACCACUUUCCAUCGAAGAAACUGCAUAAUCAAAGUGCAAAAGGUGAAUAUCUUUUUUUACCAUUUUCAAAUUAUUGUGCUUAGGCGAAAUUAUAAUAUAUCCUUUUUAGUUUACGAUCUCCGGCUGAUAUUCAGAUGCAAAUACAGAAUUUAGAGAUAGUGAGUUAAAAAUGAGUAUGAUUUGAUAAUAUGAGCAUUUUAAGAAAUGUAUUUCGUAUAUUUAUACAUAGUUCAACCUGAAGCAACGUGUUUUGUUAAACUCAUAGAUCACGGGUUCUAGCCGUGAAAUAUGAUUGCAUCAGAAUAGGUUGUCUACAUCACAUCUCCUUGGAGUACAGCCUUUCCCCGGAUCCUGCGUAAACACAAGAUACUGCAUCAUAUCGGGCUGCCCUUUGCCUUAGUUAAACCCAUAGAACUGGCCCUACAUCAGUAUCUUGUGCUAUUAGUCUUAGAAUUCUUGUUUUUGUUCUCUACAGAAGCAGUAUUUCAGUAAAAACUAAGAAGCCACAUUCUUAUGCAAACUGAAAGUUCGUUGUCUCUUAAUCCAAUAUUCCAAUCAGUCAAGAUAGCAACAUUAACAUGGAUCCGUUCCUGUAUGUAAGAAUCAAAUUUCCCAAUAAUCCUUACACCAUAUAUUCCAGAUGAAAUCCAGGAUGUUUAUAUUUUCGAACGUGUUCAUUUUUUCACUUUAUCUAUAUAUGUUUGAAACAAUUAGUAUUCUUAAACAACUCAAAAAACAUAUUGUAUUCCUAAUAUAAUUAAGCUCUAGUCCAAGAUUAGUGAUCAGCUUUAUAUGUUUCCCUUCUCAACCACAAAUUUCAUGUUCAGAAUGCGGAUCCAGGAUUUGAAAUUUAUGGUACAAUCACGCGCAUCAUGAAUAUUGAUUGGACUGGUAAGAUUCGCGCAUACAAAACAACAUAUGUGCUAGCUUGUCUUUCUUGGCCUUUUCAUUUCCAGUAUAAAAGCAGAACAUCAAGCCAUGGCUCACAUAGUUGCCAAUCCUCUUCGAAUUCAAAAAUUGUAACAAGUUUUACAUGUUUUUUUUAUUUUUUUUACUAAGCCUCUGUUAUUUAGUGGAUACACAAUUUGUUAAUCUGAAUUGUUUUUAUCAUAAUCUUGAUUGUUAAAGAUUAUUGAACCUUGUUACUCUUUAAAAGUAUUGUCCCUAUUAUCAAUACUCAUUCUUUAGCUUGUGUUAAAUCAACUAUCUUUGCUGAAAAAAUAAAACUAUUGGGAGAAGGUAAAGACAAAAUGAAGCCAACCAUGGAACAAAAC
rnacentral:lncRNA from 1 species